AGCUUGCUCUUCAAAUCGAGUGGCGAACGGGUGAGUAACGCGUGAGGGACCUGCCUCAAAGAGGGGGGACAACAGUUGGAAACGACUGCUAAUACCGCAUGAUGUGUUCGGAUGGCAUCAUCUGAACAUCAAAGAUUUAUCGCUGAAAGAUGGGCUCGCGUCUGAUUAGAUAGUUGGUGGGGUAACGGCCUACCAAGUCGACGAUCAGUAGCCGGACUGAGAGGUUGAACGGCCACAUUGGGACUGAGAUACGGCCCAGACUCCUACGGGAGGCAGCAGUGGGGAAUAUUGGGCAAUGGAGGAAACUCUGACCCAGCAACGCCGCGUGGAGGAAGAAGGUUUUCGGAUCGUAAACUCCUGUCCUUGGAGACGAGUAGAAGACGGUAUCCAAGGAGGAAGCCCCGGCUAACUACGUG
rnacentral:rRNA from 1 species